GCGGACGUGGCGGAACUGGUAGACGCACUGGAUUUAGGUUCCAGCGCCGAGAGGCGUGCGGGUUCGAGUCCCGCCGUCCGCACCA
rnacentral:tRNA from 1 species